rnacentral:rRNA from 1 species
CAGGCUUAACACAUGCAAGUCGAGGGGCAGCACGAUGUAGCAAUACAUUGGUGGCGACCGGCGCACGGGUGAGUAACGCGUAUCCAACCUGGCUUCCACUCGGGUAUAGCCUUCCGAAAGGGAGAUUAACCCCCGAUGGUACCUUUUUGCCUCCUGGCAUUGAGGUUAAAGUUUUACGGUGGAAGAUGGGGAUGCGUUCCAUUAGGCAGUAGGCGGGGUAACGGCCCACCUAGCCGACGAUGGAUAGGGGUUCUGAGAGGAAGGUCCCCCACAUUGGAACUGAGACACGGUCCAAACUCCUACGGGAGGCAGCAGUGAGGAAUAUUGGUCAAUGGACGAGAGUCUGAACCAGCCAAGUAGCGUGAAGGAUGACUGCCCUAUGGGUUGUAAACUUCUUUUUCAGGGGAAUAAUAAUCGUCACGUGUGGCGUAUUGCAUGUACCCUGUGAAUAAGCAUCGGCUAAUUCCGUGCCAGCAGCCGCGGUAAUACGGAAGAUGCGAGCGUUAUCCGGAUUUAUUGGGUUUAAAGGGAGCGUAGGCGGGAGGUUAAGUCAGCUGUGAAACCCUGUGGCUCAACCAUAGGCGUGCAGUUGAUACUGUCCUUCUUGAGUGCGGCAGAGGCAGGCGGAAUUCGUGGUGUAGCGGUGAAAUGCUUAGAUAUCACGAAGAACUCCGAUUGCGAAGGCAGCCUGCUGGACCGUAACUGACGCUGAUGCUCGAAAGUGCGGGUAUCAAACAGGAUUAGAUACCCUGGUAGUCCGCACAGUAAACGAUGGACACUCGCCGUUGGCGAUAUACGGUCAGCGGCUUAGCGAAAGCGUUAAGUGUCCCACCUGGGGAGUACGCCGGCAACGGUGAAACUCAAAGGAAUUGACGGGGGCCCGCACAAGCGGAGGAACAUGUGGUUUAAUUCGAUGAUACGCGAGGAACCUUACCCGGGCUUGAAUUGCAGUGGAAUAUACCGGAAACGGUAUAGCGGCUUGCCGCCACUGUGAAGGUGCUGCAUGGUUGUCGUCAGCUCGUGCCGUGAGGUGUCGGCUCAAGUGCCAUAACGAGCGCAACCCUCAUUUCCAGUUGCCAUCGGGUCAUGCCGGGCACUCUGGAGAGACUGCCGUCGUAAGAUGCGAGGAAGGGGGGGAUGACGUCAAAUCAGCACGGCCCUUACGUCCGGGGCUACACACGUGUUACAAUGGGGGGUACAGAAAGCAGCGUUACGGCGACGUAACGCGAAUCCUCAAAGCCCCUCUCAGUUCGGACUGGAGUCUGCAACCCGACUCCACGAAGCUGGAUUCGCUAGUAAUCGCGCAUCAGCCACGGCGCGGUGAAUACGUUCCCGGGCCUUGUACACACCGCCCGUCAAGCCAUGAAAGCCGGGGGUACCUGAAGUGCGUAACCGCGAGGGGCGCCCUAGGGUAAAACCGGUGAUUGGG